UACCAGACACAAUUUUUUCUUGGGAUAUAGGGGUUAACGCCAGUUACAUUUCGGACAAUCAUGAUAAUGAGAACUACCGAAUCAAAAUUUCUGAAUCGUGACUACAAAGUCUUAGAAGAGCAUGACUGAUGGUAGUUAUCUCAGUAUGAAGUUGGUGCCACACUGUUAUCCAUGAUUGGAUUGGACCCUGCUGAUACUUUUGGAUCUUGCUAGGAAGCACAGUUCUUUGCAAUUAUUCAUGUUGGUUUAUCAAUCUGUUGAGGUGCAGCAUACCAGGGUCUUCCCCAACAGUUGGAGACAUCUGUUAAUGGAGUGCUACUUUUCGAGGAGAGAAGAAGACUAUUGACAAUGAUGAGACAAUUGGAAUAACAAGGACAGCACUAUGUACCUCUAUUCUCUUCUUUUGUAUCAAUCCUGGGCUUAGGAUAUUUCGUGAACUCAGGCAGACUACUGACUAGGAGUGCAACAAGAGAAGCAUAAAAAACUUAAUGGUCUUCUAGUGACUAUUUAGUUAUGAACACCUAUUUUCUUUUGGUACAUUUCUGGCAACUUUGAAGGAAUGGAAAUUACCAAAUAAGAAAGUUCUGAAUAUAUUUGAGCAGAGUGAGGCAGAGGUAGUUAUCCCAGUAUGAAGAUGUUGGACAGUUGGCCCCCGAUUGGAGCGUACUAAUAUUGCUGGAUCCAACUAGAGAGACGCUAAUUAACAUCUAUUCAUGGAGUGCUUAAUUGCUUCUAGUCUAUUGAUAUUGUCCCCAUGAUUUUCCCUGUAUCUCUACCUUCAAGUAGGUAGUGGUUCAGGUUCUUUAUGAAUGUCAGUAUUUUAUUGGCAGGAAUUUGCAGCUAUAUAGUAUCUUGACAGUCUUAUACAUUUUUCUCUAUGCUAAAAUUUCAUUUUCUGUUGCAUUAGCAGAAGACAUUGUCUAGAUUGUUUUCACCUGUCAUGGAUACUCGAACAAUGCAAUGGCAAUCUGAGAACUCAACUCAACCCGUUCUUGUAUGGAUGCCUCUUUUUUUUCUCCUCACUCAGGACUCAGGAGAGUAGAAGACUAUGUUGACAAUGAUGAGGAAAUCGGAAUAAAGAGGACAACAGUAUGUACGUCUAUUUUCUACUUUGGUAUCAACUUUACUUGGCUUCUGGUAAUCGUGUUUGGUACAUUCCUAGCUUUGUUAUAGAUUCAAUAAUGUCAUGGAGAUUCCAGCUUCUUCAAGUCGUCAAGUCAACUAUUCAAAUCGUUGAUCUAUGUUUUCACUUUAAGAUAUAUCACGUCUUCAAGCACACGGAGUUUGCAUGAAUUUAGUUUGAGAUCAAUUGUUGCAAGGCAGACUUUAGGGACUGGAAAUACAAUAAAGAGAAGCAUUACUAACUUACUGGCCUUCUAGUGAGAAGUACAAGACCAUUUUAUACGGUAUUCAACACUCUUUUGAGAUAGUUGAUGCUGCAUACAUUUCAUAGAACUUUGAUCUGCAUGGGAAUCACAAAGCAAAAUUUCUGAAUCAUGACGAGGAAUUUGAAGUGAACGAGGCUAAUAGCUAACUUAAUAAGAAGAUGAUGCCAUGCUGACAGUUAACCAGGGAUUGGAGCCUGCAAAAACUGUUUGAUCGAACUAGAUGAAGCACUACAUAGUGACUUCCAUAGGAUGCUUUUCAGUCUAUUGAGGAGUUAAGCUAUAUAACAAUGUCUUAACAUUUGGAGAUGACUGGUUAAACUGCUUAUGCAGUGCUAUUUUUCAGGGUAGAGCUUUGGGUUGUUCCUUUUUCUCUUAUAUUUCUACACUAAAGCUUCAUGAAUGACAUACAGGAGUGUGAUGGGAUAGAUAUACAUGGCUGCAUCCAACACAUUCUCUUCCCAUAUCUUUUCCUUUCAGAACUUGCUCUCUGUCUUAUGCUGCAAUUUCAUAUAUUUUCCUCUAAUUUUAAUUUCUCAGAAAGUGUAUUUCUUGCAGAAGACCUCAUCUGGACUGUUUUACUCCUGUUACUGUUAUUCAAACAAGGCAAUGGUGCGUCCUUCGACUCAGUCAAAUCAUGUUGUAUGAUUGGCCCUCCUUUUUUUUAGUUGGCUUUCAAUCAGGAGAGCAGAGAACUGUACAAAAUGGAGAGAGACACUCGGAGUAACGAGAGAGGACCAUCUUAAGAUUUGAUUAAGUAAUGUUGUGGAGCCUCCCAUGUUGCAUCUUCACACUCUCAACUAUUCAAAUCUUUGAUCUAUUUUCCCGUUUAGGAUACUUUGCAAUCUGUAUGUAGUUUUACAUGAAUCUAUAAUCAAUCGCAUUGAGGCAGACUUUACUGACUGAAAGCUUGACAAGAGAAAAGCACAACAAACUCACUAGUCUUCCAGUGACAGUUUGAAGGCUAUUUGAUAACGAGAACUGCUUGCAUUUCAGACAUCCUUGAUCAGAAUGGGAGUGAAUCAAAAUUUCUGGAUCUUGACAAGGUAUUUGAGCAGAAUGAAGCUCUGAUGGUACUUAUCCCAGUAUGAAGCUGAUGCCCUUGAUCCAGCUAGGGAAAGAGAUACUAGUUAGCAACUAUUCAUGACAUCCUAGUUUGUUUUACACCUGCAAUGGUGAUACGAGUCGUCCAACUAUCGGAUUAGGAAUGUGAAGGCUUGUUCAGAAUGAGACCGGAGAAAGAAAGAGCUAUACUAUUGAUCAGACAUCUUUUGUCUCAGUUUAAAUUGCUCAAUUCAUGAUUGAUGAAUCCCAAAGUCCAAUUCAUGUUGAAUAUUGUGAAACCUUUCAGUAAAUGUUUAAGCAUUUUCGACAAGUUGUGAUCUCAACCUUUCUAUUACAUGUUCUAUAUUGGAUUUUAU